rnacentral:rRNA from 1 species
GAUGAACGCUAGCGGCAGGCCUAACACAUGCAAGUCGAGGGAGAAGCCUUUCGGGGCAGAAACCGGCGCACGGGUGCGUAACGCGUAUGCAACCUACCUUUCACAGGGGGAUAGCCCGAAGAAAUUUGGAUUAAUACCCCAUAAUAUUGUUGGAUGGCAUCAUCUGGCAAUUAAAACUGAGGUGGUGAAAGAUGGGCAUGCGUCCUAUUAGCUAGUUGGAGUGGUAACGGCACCCCAAGGCUACGAUAGGUAGGGGUCCUGAGAGGGAGAUCCCCCACACUGGUACUGAGACAGGGACCAGACUCCUACGGGAGGCAGCAGUGAGGAAUAUUGGUCAAUGGUCGGAAGACUGAACCAGCCAUGCCGCGUGCAGGAAGAAUGCCUUAUGGGUUGUAAACUGCUUUUAUAUGGGAAGAAUAAGGUGUACGUGUACAUUGAUGACGGUACCAUAUGAAUAAGCAUCGGUAAUCUGC